rnacentral:tRNA from 1 species
ACGCCGGUGGUGUAAUGGCGUAGAGCAUUCCCGCUCGGUCAGAGGGAGGUGCGGGUUCGAGUCCCGCCCGGCGCU